GUGGGAAUGAUGAAAAAAUCAGACGGAUUCCCAUUGAUUACCUUCGGUAAGAAUGAUAAAAAACAACCAGCUAUUUCUGACCUCC